GUGGGGAAUCUUAGACAAUGGGGGAAACCCUGAUCUAGCCAUGCCGCGUGAGCGAUGAUGGCCUUAGGGUUGUAAAGCUCUUUCAGCUGGGAAGAUAAUGACGGUACCAGCAGAAGAAGCCCCGGCUAACUCCGUGCCAGCAGCCGCGGUAAUACGGAGGGGGCUAGCGUUGUUCGGAAUUACUGGGCGUAAAGCGCGCGUAGGCGGACCAGAAAGUUGGAGGUGAAAUCCCAGGGCUCAACCUUGGAACUGCCUUCAAAACUCCUGGUCUGGAGUUCGAGAGAGGUGAGUGGAAUUCCGAGUGUAGAGGUGAAAUUCGUAGAUAUUCGGAGGAACACCAGUGGCGAAGGCGGCUCACUGGCUCGAUACUGACGCUGAGGCGCGAAAGCGUGGGGAACAAACAGGAUUAGAAACCCCGGUAGUCC
rnacentral:rRNA from 1 species